GAUGAACGCUGGCGGCGUGCCUAAUACAUGCAAGUCGAGCGAACGGACGAGAAGCUUGCUUCUCUGAUGUUAGCGGCGGACGGGUGAGUAACACGUGGAUAACCUACCUAUAAGACUGGGAUAACUUCGGGAAACCGGAGCUAAUACCGGAUAAUAUUUUGAACCGCAUGGUUCAAAAGUGAAAGACGGUCUUGCUGUCACUUAUAGAUGGAUCCGCGCUGCAUUAGCUAGUUGGUAAGGUAACGGCUUACCAAGGCAACGAUGCAUAGCCGACCUGAGAGGGUGAUAGGCCACACUGGAACUGAGACACGGUCCAGACUCCUACGGGAGGCAGCAGUAGGGAAUCUUACGCAAUGGGCGAGAGCAUGACGGAGCAACGGCGCGUGAGUGAUGAAGGUCUUCGGAUCGUAAAACUCUGUUAUUAGGGAAGAACAUAUGUGUAAGUAAAUGUGCACAUCUUGACGGUACCUAAUCAGAAAGCCACGGCUAACUACGUG
rnacentral:rRNA from 1 species